GUCAACACCCCUGGCUGGCGGCUCGGGGCUUCUAGCCUCAAACCGAUAGGAUUAGUUGACCCGACACGCGUACCUUGAGUACUACGUUAUUGGUAAGCGUUUAAGUUCCUACCUACGGAUGCGCAGCCAGUCUGUAGCUCUAGAAAUCAAGGAUUAAACAGGUUUAGAGGGUUAAGCCAGUGUCUUUGAUAUAGUACCGACCAAUAACAAAGUCUCGGCUAACAUUAC
rfam:Scytonema millei VB511283 scaffold_2, whole genome shotgun sequence.